GCGUGCUGGUUCCAAAUCUGGCGAUGGUGAUGGGGACGGAGGACAGGCCGGGGCCGGGGCCGGGGACGGGACCCCAUCGCCUCCCUCCCUCCACGUCCUAAUAAAUCGCUCCCAUCUCCGAUUCGCCCAACCCCCUUUUCUCUUCAAUCUUUCCGCCGCCCCGUCGAUUCCAUUCCAUUUCAAUCCUCCAUCCAUCCGUCCCCGUUUGCGCCAUGCUGCCGGCGCCGGCGCCG
rnacentral:lncRNA from 1 species